GGAGAAAUGAAACAAUGUUACUAUUUCUCCUCCUUUAUUAGCAUUGUGUGCCCUGGCUGUGCCUUGUCUGAACUGGAUUGUUGGGUCAUUUGCUAAAUCUUUAAUAUAAAUGUAAAAGAAAACAGAGAAUAUAUAUGAAAAAUGUUAAGACAAGUUCUAGGUGAUGUGUUAUUCGAAAGUGACAGUUCUCCUUUAAGUAGAUGAAAUGACUGCUAUAAUUGGUAGGAAAGACGAGUAUCAUAUUAACAAAGAGUUACAUUACAUGAUUUAACAGAAGCCAUGUAAGUAGCAAUGGAAUAAGACUUACUUCAGAUUUACA